rnacentral:rRNA from 1 species
CAAGUCGAACGAGAAAGCGGGAGCAAUCUCGCAAGUAAAGUGGCGUACGGGUGAGUAACACGUGGAUUAUCUGCCCUGGAGUGGGGAAUAACGCUGGGAAACCGGCGCUAAUACCGCAUAUUCCCGAGAGGGGAAAGCAGCAAUGCGCUCGAGGAGGAGUCCGCGGCCGAUUAGCUAGUUGGCAGGGUAAAAGCCUACCAAGGCUAUGAUCGGUAGCCGGCCUGAGAGGGCACACGGCCACACUGGCACUGAAACACGGGCCAGACUCCUACGGGAGGCAGCAGUGGGGAAUCUUGCACAAUGGGGGAAACCCUGAUGCAGCGACGCCGCGUGAGCGAUGAAGCCCUUCGGGGUGUAAAGCUCUUUCGGCAGGGAAGAUUAUGACGGUACCUGCAGAAGCAGCUGCGGCUAACUACGUGCCAGCAGCCGCGGUAAUACGUAGGCAGCAAGCGUUGUUCGGAGUUACUGGGCGUAAAGGGUGUGUAGGCGGCCUGUUAAGUUCCGUGUGAAAUCUCCCGGCUCAACCGGGAGGGUGCGCGGAAUACUGACGGGCUAGAGUGCGGGAUGGGAGAGUAGAAUUCCUGGUGUAGCGGUGAAAUGCGUAGAUAUCAGGAGGAAUACCAGUGGUGUAGACGGCUCUCUGGACCGCAACUGACGCUGAGACACGAAAGCGUGGGUAGCAAACAGGAUUAGAUACCCUGGUAGUCCACGCCCUAAACGAUGCAUAUUUGGUGUAGGUCAUUCAGUUGAUCUGUGCCGGAGCUAACGCGUUAAAUAUGCCGCCUGGGGAGUACAGUCGCAAGGCUGAAACUCAAAGGAAUUGACGGGGGCCCGCACAAGCGGUGGAGCAUGUGGUUCAAUUCGACGCAACGCGAAGAACCUUACCUGGGCUCGAACGGCUGGUCAAC